GUAACAUAAUAUGUCUCAUAUGUUUAUCUACAUCUUGUGACAGUUGCUGGUGAAUAAUAGGACAGCAAGCGCCAGUGAAAUAGUUGCUUCAGCACUUCAUGACAAUUGCAAAGCUGUUCUUGUUGGCGAAAGGACUUUUGGCAAGGGCUUAAUCCAAUCUGUAUUUGAACUUCAUGAUGGUUCUGGUAUUGUCGUCACAGUUGGCAAAUACAUGACACCAAACCACAAGGAUAUCAAUGGGAAUGGAAUAGAACCGGAUUACAAUCGUCUUCCUGGUACUCUAAGAAAACGCCAGAUUUCUUUUGUGGCAAUUGAAUUCUGCAAUGUAAUUCCCGUUUGCUGGUUUCCCUUUUGUGGCAGAUUUC